rnacentral:rRNA from 1 species
GACGAACGCUGGCGGCGUGCCUAAUACAUGCAAGUAGGACGCAGUUGCGAACGGGUGAGUAACGCGUAGGUAACUACCUAUUAGAGGGGGCUAACUAUUGGAAACGAUAGCUCAUACCGCAUACUAGUAGAUGGACCUGCGUUGUAUUAGCUAGUAGGUAGGGUAAAGGCCUACCUAGGCAACGAUACAUAGCCGACCUGGGAGGGUGAUCGGCCACACUGGGACCGAGAAACGGGCCAGACUCCUACGGGAUGCAGCAGUAGGGAAACUUCGGCAAGUGGGCGAAACCUGACCGAGCAAAGCCGGCGGAGUGAAGAAGGUUUUCGGAUCGUAAAACUCUGUUGUUAAGGAAGCGGUACUUAACCAGAAAGGGACGGCUAACUACGUGCCAGCAGCCGCGGUAAUAC